UACUCUUCCCGACCUCGGAUCAGGCGUGAA
rnacentral:rRNA from 1 species